GGGUCAGUAGGUUGGUCGUGCCACCGGUACGUACUGGUCUCACUGAUUCCUCCUUCCUGAAGUACCUUAAUGCCAUUAAUUUGGUGUUGCGGGGAAACAGGACUGUUACUUUGAAAAAAUUAGAGUGUUUAAAGCAAGCUAACGCUUGAAUACAUUAGCAUGGAAUAAUGAAAUAGGACGAUCGAUCCUAUUUUGUUGGUUUCUAGGAUUGACGUA
rnacentral:rRNA from 1 species